rnacentral:rRNA from 1 species
GACGAACGCUGGCGGCGUGCUUAACACAUGCAAGUCGAACGAUGAAGCCCAGCUUGCUGGGUGGAUUAGUGGCGAACGGGUGAGGAACACGUGAAGAAUCUGCCUUCAACUCUGGGAUAACUCCGGGAAACCGGGGCUAAUACCGGAUAUGAGAUCUGCAGGCAUCUGCGGAUCUGGAAAGUUUUUCGGUUGAAGAUGACUUCGCGGCCUAUCAGCUUGUUGGUGAGGUAAAGGCUCACCAAGGCGACGACGGGUAGCCGGCCUGAGAGGGCGACCGGCCACACUGGGACUGAGACACGGCCCAGACUCCUACGGGAGGCAGCAGUGGGGAAUAUUGGGGCAAUGGAGGGAACUCUGACCCCAGCGACGCCGCGUGCGGGAUGAAGGCCUGGUGUAACGCUUUCAGCAGGGAUAAGCGCAAGUGAAGGUACCUGCAGAAGAAGCACCGGCUAACUAUGUG